ensembl:lncRNA TSPAN14-AS1 TSPAN14 antisense RNA 1
GGCGGCCGCACGGGGAGGCACUCGGCUUCGCAACCUGGGUGUGCCUGGCCUGGGUGUGCGGGAGGACCCCAGAGGACCCCAGAGGACCCCAGGAGCAGGGGUCGCGCCGAAGAGCAGAGUCCGCGGCUGGAAACCAGGCAGGGGAGCCACGGAGUAGUCACACAGGUUUUCUGCCGCCUUUCAACUGGUCUUAUUUUGCUUUCAUUUUUCACCAGCCCAUGUGGGGUGUUUAAUGUUGCACGCGAACGCAGUUUCUUCCGGGCCCGGAAGGCCCACGCACGCAACAAUGUUGUGCAAGUGACUGGAAACCACCUGAGUGUCCCUCCAUGGGGGUGGGUUGCCCAGCAUGGACCUCUACUCCUGUCACAAUGAAGUCGACUGUUUCGUCGAGGGAAGUGGCCACCGUUGAUAAAAUGAAAAGACGCCAUGCAGAAUACUGUGCACAGGAGGAAAGGUCUGCGUGCCCUAAGAGAGAGCUGCUGGCGUGCAGAGAGAAGCAGAGAUGCCGACGACGGGGAGGAAACACACUGGCGGUGGUGAGGCUCCUUCCAGCAGCCACAGCCCUGGUUCCUCUCAGUCUGUGACCCUCCCACAUCCUUCCCAUCUAUGAGAGCCUGUAAACUCCUUUUGCUUAACCUUGUUUUAGUUAAGGUUUUAAACAGUUGCCACCAGUGUGCCCUAACCACC